rnacentral:rRNA from 1 species
UACGAAGGGGGCUAGCGUUGCUCGGAAUCACUGGGCGUAAAGCGCACGUAGGCGGAUUUCUAAGUCAGGGGUGAAAUCCUGGAGCUCAACUCCAGAACUGCCUUUGAUACUGGGAAUCUCGAGUCCGGGAGAGGUGAGUGGAACUGCGAGUGUAGAGGUGAAAUUCGUAGAUAUUCGCAAGGACACCAGUGGCGAAGGCGGCUCACUGGCCCGGUACUGACGCUGAGGUGCGAAAGCGUGGGGAGCAAACAGG